UACGGAGGGUGCAAGCGUUGUUCGGAAUUACUGGGCGUAAAGGGCGCGUAGGCGGUCCUGAUCGUCGGAUGUGAAAGGCCUGGGCUCAACCUGGGAACUGCAUCCGAUACGGCGGGACUGGAGUGUGGGAGAGGUUGGUGGAAUUCCCAGUGUAGAGGUGAAAUUCGUAGAUAUUGGGAAGAACACCGGUGGCGAAGGCGGCCAACUGGACCACAACUGACGCUGAGGCGCGAAAGCGUGGGGAGCAAACAGG
rnacentral:rRNA from 1 species